rnacentral:lncRNA from 1 species
CACACACAAAAAAAAAGGCUUCUUUUAGUUUUUGUCUUCCAAAUCCACUCACUAAGUUUGGUGUUGGCCUGGGGCUCAUUAACAGCAUUGAUCCCAUGGAAAUUAAUCAGGUAAUUUGCAUUGUUAUCUAUGUAUUAUGAACAUUUAAUACUGUAUUGGGACAGAAUAUGUCAAAACGUGACUAAAUAACUUCCACCAACAAUUUUCUUCUUUCUUUUUCAGGAAUUGGAAGAAACGAUUCGAUCACUGAAAAUACAAGUGUCAGCUCUCCAAAAACGGGUUACUUUAUUACAAAACGACCGUCGAGAAACAAUUAAGGGAUUCUAUAGUCCAAGUUACUCUUAUCCAGAACCAACAUACAAACCAAUAGCUUCACCUUAAUUUUGACUCAACACUUGCAGAAACAAAACGCAUUUUCAACAUUUCUUCCAUAUAUAUAUAAAUAAAAACAG